rnacentral:tRNA from 1 species
GGGUUGCUAGCUCAGUGGUAGAGUGCAUGCUUUGUAUGUACGAUGUCCUGGGUUCAAUCCCCACUUCUGGUUA